rnacentral:rRNA from 1 species
GACGAACGCUGGCGGCGUGCCUAAUACAUGCAAGUCGAACGCAGUGGGGACGGGUGAGUAACACGUGGGUAACCUCCCAUCAGAGGGGAUAACACUUGGAAACAGGUGCUAAACCGAUACUGAUGGAUGGACCCGGGGUGCAUUAGCUAGGUGGUGAGGUAACGGCUCACCAAGGCCACGAUGCAUAGCCGGCCUGAGAGGGUGAUCGGCCACACUGGGACUGAGACACGGCCCAGACUCCUACGGGAGGCAGCAGUGGGGAAUAUUGGGCAAUGGGCGAAAGUCUGACCGAGCAACGCCGCGUGAGUGAAGAAGGUUUUCGGAUCGUAAAACUCUGUUGUUAGGGAGGCGGUACCUAACGAGGAAGCCACGGCUAACUACGUGCCAGCAGCCGCGGUAAUUC